GAUGAACGCUGGCGGCGUGCCUAAUACGUGCAAGUCGAGCGAACAGACGAGGAGCUUGCUCCUCUGACGUUAGCGGCGGACGGGUGAGUAACACGUGGAUAACCUACCUAUAAGACUGGGAUAACUUCGGGAAACCGGAGCUAAUACCGGAUAAUAUAUUGAACCGCAUGGUUCAAUAGUGAAAGACGGUUUUGCUGUCACUUAUAGAUGGAUCCGCGCCGCAUUAGCUAGUUGGUAAGGUAACGGCUUACCAAGGCGACGAUGCGUAGCCGACCUGAGAGGGUGAUCGGCCACACUGGAACUGAGACACGGUCCAGACUCCUACGGGAGGCAGCAGUAGGUAAUCUUCCGCAAUGGGCGAAAGCCUGACGGAGCAACGCCGCGUGAGUGAUGAAGGUCUUCGGAUCGUAAAACUCUGUUAUUAGGGAAGAACAAAUGUGUAAGUAACUAUGCACGUCUUGACGGUACCUAAUCAGAAAGCCACGGCUAACUACGUG
rnacentral:rRNA from 1 species